UAAUUUGGUGGAAUUUAUUGCAUUCAUGAUUUAUACACUGCUCUGAAGUAUUGUGGCUUGUUGAUGAUUUCUUGUUAAACAGAUACAAAGCUUGGAGGAAAGUGCUGAAUCAUUAAAGGAGCGAAGUUUAAAGUUUUACAAAGGGUGCCGAAAAUACACUGAAGGACUUGGGGAGGAAUAUGAUGGGGAUAUUGCUUUUGUGGGUGCACUAGAAACUUUUGGUGGAGGGCAUGAUGAUCCCAUUAGUUUGGCUUUUGGAGGCCCUGUUAUGACCAAAUUUACCAUUGCGCUGAGAGAAAUUGGGACUUACAAAGAACUACAUCGAUCCCAGGAG